CAAACGAAAGCCUGGGAUCAUUUUCAUUACAGAAUUGCAUAUGAAAAGAAGCUUAGCGAAGCAGGGCCGGCCCUGGCCCAAGGCUACCAAGGCGGUCGCCUUGGGCCUCAGAAUUUAGAGGGCCUCAAAUUUUGAGGCCCAUAGGGGAUGGAAAAAAUAAAAAAUAAAAAUAAGUUAGGGCAAGUUUCAGACGACACAAUCUGCUUCGACACUCCGCAGGGCGCAGCCUCCGCUAUCUCCUCAGGUGACAAGGUCUUCUGUAGCAAUGAUCAAUCAAUCACUGUGGGUAAUUGUCUCCCAAAAAACACACACACAAAGUGCAGUGUAGUUAAUAUAAAGAGUGAAAGAGAAAACUAUAUAUGAUAGUGGAUGACACAUAUAACCUAAAAGUCCCACUACUUCUUCAGUACUACAAGUUCAGCCUCCUAUAUAUAUAUAUAGUCACCUCAUUACCACAUAUUUUUGUCAUAUGUAAUCAUCAAAUUUUAGUAGCUAUAUAAACAAUGAGUGUAAAAGAAGCUGCAAUUUGCUGUUCUCUUUCAUUUUUUAUUUUGUGUCUGUGAAAAUUUCGCACUCUUUAAUUGAUAAAUUUAUUGUUAUUAGUUAGUUAUCUUAUACACAAUACACACCCGCACAAUUUGCACACAAUUAUUUAUUGGUGGUGAUAAAAAUUUAUAGUUAUUAGUUAGUUGUCUGAAGCACACUGCACAAACGCACAAUUAUUUAUUGGUGGUGAUAGAUUUGUAUUUAUUAGUUAGUUGUCUUAUGCACAUUGUACAGGCGCACAAUUAUUUGUUGGUGGUGAUAAAUUUAUAGUUAUUAGUUAGAUGUCUUAUGCACAAUGCACAGGGGCACAAUUAUAUUAGUUAUAGAAUUUAAAAACAUCGUGUUAAAAUUUUGCAUUCUUAUAAUUCUUUUUUGCGCGUGUGAAACGGCCUCACAUUUGAAAGUUCGCCUAGGGUCUCUCAAAAUAUUUGAAAUCUCAGGGCCGGCCCUAUAGCGAAGGGAUGAAAAGUAGACCCAAUCUACUUUAGAACCCGACCAAGGGUAUAUUACUGAAAAUAAACAAAUUAUAAGAGUAGAAUACUAAAUAUAUAUAUAUAUUCAGUGGGGGAAAUUGCCCCCACUCCCUUCAAUGUGGAUCCGUCCCUAAUUGAAGCCCAUCAAAGUAGUUCUCAUCUUCAAUGCAUCAGACAGUUGUCUAUGACUAAUUUCAUUUAAGAGAUACAAACGUAAUCCUAAAUUUUGGAGUUAUAAUUUCAUACCAACAUAUAUGAAUUAUUUACAUAUCAUUCUCUCAAUGGAUAUUUAUACAUAGCUUCAAUAUAUACAUAUAUAUAUAUACAUUCACACAUACACUGCAUUGAAAUAAAAGUUUAGAACUAAGCCGUGUAGUUACCGCCUGCCACUUCCAAAAGGAAAUCUAUGAAUGAUUCAGGUAAAAGGAAAUUAGCUCCCAAAAGGAAAUCUGAGUGAGGGUUUCUCUCUAGCUCUGAAAAGGAAAGCUAUUUAUGUUAUGUCUCAUUAGUGAUAAAAUCAUGAAAAUCACUUCAUGAUGUCUAUCAUUUUCUAAUAAAUAAUAGGACAAUAUUUAGAUUCUCACUAGUAAGGAUGUACAACAUUCACUACUAAGGAUGUACAACAUACUGACCAUUGAGGUGGACCAAUAAUAAACGAACACAUCCUAUUUUAAUUAUCAAAUUAUAGAUAGUAAACAAAUCACUAUUUAUGAUUUGGUAAGUGAGUAUUUACCCACCCUAUUUGAUUUGAUAAUUAAAGAUGAUAUGUCCAUAUAUUGUUAGUCCACAUCAAUAGUAGUAUGUUGUAGAUACUCACUAGUGAGGACCUAAGUAUUGUCCUAAAUAAUAUAUGUCGGUAACUUUUACGUAGGACACUUUAAGUUUAGUAUUUUUUUUUAGUUUAGAUUUCUUAUUUAUUUUAUUUUUAUAAUUUUUUAUAACAAAUUUAGUUUUAUUUAGUUUAUUUGAGAAAUUAUUUUCCUUUUGCUAUUAGUUUUCUUUAUAUUUUUAGUUUCUUCUAUUGUUAGGUUUUAUUUUAUUAUAAAUAUGUGUACUGCCAAGUGCAGAAUUUAUUUUUAUGCAUUCAAUUAUCAAUACAAAUAUCAUAUUUCUCUAAAAUUAUCCUUCGUUUUGUAGAUUCAAAAUAGCUUAUUUUGUGGAUUCAAAGUAAACCAUUCCUUGUAAACAAAUUUAUCGCUUUCGCUUAUGCCAAUUGGUAUCAGAGACUUGUCUUUUCCUGAUCUAAUGACAGAUGAAUGUGGUGGUGAUGCCAAACCUCGUUGGCGACGAAGAUCGACAGAGAGUGGCUUUUUUUAGGGCUGAAUUUCAAGGUUAUCAACGUGAAACCCGGCAAACGUUACAAGAUAUUCAAGCAAUACUUGCUAGGUUUGAGUUGGAGCAAAAUCACGAGAACAAUAGGAUGUGUAACGUUAAAGUUGAUCCUAGGAAUUUUCCUCCUAAUUUUGAUUGUUUAUUUAUUGUUGAAGAUUUUUUAGAUUCACUAGAA